ACUUUAAAACACCUAUAGGCUCAAUUAUUUAAUAAUUACUACCUUCAUCCCAUAAUUAAGUGUCACAUUUUGCCAUUUCGAUCCGUCCCACAAUAAGAGUCACAUUUCACUUUUACCAUAAAUGGAAAGUAGACCCCACAUUCCACCAACCAAUUCUACCCACAUUUUAUUAUAAAACUAAUAGGGGAGCAUUAAGGUCCUAUUGCCCCCUUAGUGUUAAGUUCCAACUUAAUAUCAACCAUUAGAUUAGGUGGAUGGACGGAUUAGAUGAAACUUUGAUAAAUGAAUAUGUGUUGCAUUAUUAGGGAUAAUCUGUACAUUAUAUGAGUAUAAUUAUAAAACAACACUGAAUCACAAACGGAAGGAGCGAGAAUUAAGCGGGAUUUUUAAUCGACCUUCCAUCUACUCACUCUCUCUCACACUUCAACCGUCUCACUCCUCAACCCACGAUUGAAUUUCGUCUCCCCUAAUUCCCCCCCAAUUUCCAAACCCUAGCCGCCACUCCAAGCCACCAGAAAUCAACCCUUGCGUCGAUUUUUGCCAUUAAAUCAACCUCCCGCGCCGUUUCACAGUCGAAACAUCUCUCCCUCCGCGCGCGACCAUCAAGUUCAAGGCGACAACAAGGUAGGGUUUAAAUGGUUAAAUUUUUGGUAAUACCCACUGUUAAUCGCCGAUUUUCACCGCUGACACACCACCUAGUGGUCGAUUCAAUGUUUUCUCGCAAACAAUAUCAAGGUUUCAAACACGUUUUGGUCAAUAUUUUCGUAAAUCAUGAAAUCGUGCGCAUUUUUUUAGGGGCUCUGUCCAUUAUUGAAGUUUGUUUACUGGUUUACAAUUGUGUAUUGACGAUUCUGUAGAGGAAAUUUUAUCAGGUUUUGAUUUUUGUUCGUCUCAUAGAUCCACAAUGACGAAAAGAGGCUGACCUUUCAAAAGCCAAUCAACACAGGCUGCAGCAACCAAGCACGCUAGGUUGGACAUUGACGAAGCGGUUGAUGAUGUCAUUCCUAUUGCGAUAGCGCAAAAGUUCCAGGAGAGAUUGGCUGAGCAACGGGUGGAGACGAGUACAACUCGUGAAGAGGCAGAGCCGAGGAAACCAAGAGGCAAGAAAGUAGACCAUCUCUACUGUCGACGGACCCCAACCGAGUUCCUGAACUGUUUAAAAAGCAUAACUCCACGGCAGAAGGAAGUCGUUCUUGAACUGGGUUUUGGAGCUAUCCUCCAUUUCAACAUGAAGAAGAUUCCGGGAUACCUAGGCUAUUGGGUUCUCACGACAUUUAAUCUAGCUCGGUGCCAGAUUCCAUUUCUAGGGGUGAGAGACUAACACUGGAUGAGGAGGACGUACAUCUGACGUUAGGCUUUCCGAGAAGUCCGACACCCAUUUCACGCCCAACCGACAAACAAAGCAACUUCAUGUUCGGUGUAAUAAGGGGCGGUUCAAAAUGACCCCUGGAGACAUUGCUAAGUUGAUGAUGCAGGACGUUGAUGGAGGACCAGAUUUCAAGAAACUCUUCAUGUUCAUGCUGGAAAAUGACGUUAUAGAAACUCCGGCCGACGGCAAUUGCAAGCUAAAGAUUCUGCAUUUCAUCAAUGAUGUUGAUGAGAUUCCAAACAUGAAUUGGUGUGGGUACCUGUUAUCCGUUCUUGAGGUCACAUAUCCCAGUUGGGAAAAAGGCCUAACUGCGUCUUUCACCAGGCCUAUUCACUUCUUAUUGUGUGCGUAUGUGGACCGCGUGGUUCACUGCCGGAGGUGAGUGAUCCGUGCCUGGCCGACAAUAAAAGGUUGGACGGCGGAGACUCUCAAGCAAAGGGAGGACGCAGAGGGAGUACGGAACAUGGAGAUUGGAGGCCUGGAUUGACAAGGAGAAUUUUCUUCAGGAUGAGGAAGUAAGGAGGUUGGAAUCGUUGAAUAGGGGAGAAGGAGGAGCGCCCAACAGGUAUAGAGCGAAGCGAAUCAGAGAUUAGUUUAUCGCUUCAAGCUCGCUCAUGGCCCACGCAAUUUCGAUGUGGGUAGAUGAUUUCAAAAGAAUACCUGUUGAGUUGCUAGAUGAUGAGUGCUUCCGAGUAGGCAGUCAGAUAGGAAAGAAAUUGUUGGGAUUGGAGGAUGAGAAUGUGGUGGAG